rnacentral:tRNA from 1 species
UGUUCUGCGGCUUAGUUAGUUAAAGCGCCGGACUAGCGAUAUGGAGUCGUGGGUUCGAAUCUUACCAAAACAA